CUAAAGUUCUAGAGGAGCCUCUUUCCUGCCUCCACCCGGGGCCUUGGCAAUCCUUGACCUUCUGUCCCCUCCCUCCCAUCUCAGCCUCUGUUAUCACGCAUUGGGUAGAAGGUCCAUCCUCAUCCAGAAGGGUGAGCUCGAGGCACCGGAAUCAGGCGACUAACCUAUCUUUUGGAGGGGACAUUGCAGUCUGCCGCACUGUUAUGUGCUCUGAGGCAUGCAGGGAGGACCACACGUGUGUUUCACAAACAUGCUGAGCUGGUUGCUUCGGGUGGGGGCUUUACCGCGGCAGUGGAAGGAAAGCAGAAGAGCCAUCAAGAACCACUUGCUUUAGCUCUGUGGACUCCACUUUCUCAUCUUUGCAGAAGAACAGAAUGACACACCGAGAUGUAUCAGCCUUCUGGAAACUGCUCAGUUUCUCAGGACUCAGUGAGUGCCAAGGUAAAGGCGAGAUUCCUCUCUGCUGACACCGACCUCUGAAAUCUCAGCUCCUCAGUUUUCCAUUGCACUGGCAGUUUUGAACUAAGUGCUGUUAUCUCCCAUGUCCAUCCACUGAUGGGGAGAAAGCCCUGCCUUGGAGGCUCGGGGCAGAGGAAUUCAGCCAAAAUAGACAACGGAGACCCUCAUGGUCAGAAGGGAGUGAUAGCUGUUCUCAGGAGCGACUGCUGAGAUGCAAAGCGAGGUUUCCUUCAGCCGCCACGUCUGCUGACAAAGGGAGCUGGUAGCAGUGCUCAUCCCUCGGAACUGGCAUGAGGAUUGAAUGACUUUUAAAGAAAGCCUAGAACAAUCACCGAGGACAUGCACUUCUACAGGGGAAUGGGGUCAGGAGGAACUCCAGCACCCUGCGAGCCACCUGGCCUGGCAAACCCAGUGGUGGACAAGAGAGACCCCGCCUCAGACAAGGCAGGAGAGGGCUGACAACCGAGACAGAGAAGUCCCCUUCCAAGGUCGCCAAGAUGUUCAAGGCAAGUCACAGAGGGGCCAGCUGCCCUGUGUGCCACAGGGAAUGGACGGAGGACCAAGGCCAAGCUCAAAUUUGCAACAGUCCUCAUGCGUCAGCUUCCUGAGUGCCUGGAUGAGGUGUACGUCACCAUAUUUGCUAAAAUUGGGCAUUUUAAAAAAUUGGCAUGUAAGACUUUAACAUAUUUAUGAAUGCCUGUGGCAGCUCAAUACAUGCCUGUAUUGUGUGAUGCUCACACCCAGGUAAGUGUAUCUGUCUCCUCAUUCAGGAGACAUUUCUUCAGGGUGAAAAUAUUAAGAGUCCUGUCUCGCGGCUUUUUUGAAGUAUGAUGUACAUUAUCAUAGUCUGUGAUUAACCCCUCAAGGAUUUGGUGUGUGUGUGUGUGUGUGUGUGUCCCCACAUGUGUGCAGCUACAGAGGUUGGUAGUUGAUGUCGGAUGUCUUCAUCUGUGACUGUCACUGAACCCAGAUCUCACCAGUUGACUACACUGGCUGGCGAGCAAAGCUUCUGGGUCCUUCUUUCUUCAUCUCCCCAGCACUGAGGCUACAUCCAGGUACCACUGAACUUGGCUUUUCACUUAAGAGUUGGGGAUUUGAACUCAGGUCUUCAGGGUUUGGGGCCAAGGACUUCACCCACUGAACCAUCCCCCCACUACCCCCAGAUUUGGUAAUUUCUAAAAUUGUUUUUUUUUACUCUCUUGUUCCAGGGUUCACUGGGGAACUGGAAGCCCAUGAUUCAGAGCCCAUACAGCCCAUGGUUCAGGCUCAAACACACAACCACUGGAGGCCUGAGCGUACUGCAUCGGUGAUUUGCUGAUGCUGACUGAACCCCCACGGUGUGCCUGGUGCUGUACAGGGUGUGGGGUGCAGUGGCGAAGGACCAGGGCCAAGAGAUCCAGAUCUAAAAUGUUCUUGUGUCUGCAUUGGGUUCCUGAUGGCCUCCGCAUGCCUGCUCACCUUCACCUCGGCUAAGGAUCCCAGGGACUUCUGGGUAACUGCUGACACGCUGUCUCAGCAAGUUCUCUCUGUGAUCUUCGGGAAGCUGCAUUCAGGCCCACAGACCUGUCCUGGGGUCUGGGAGCCGAUGCCUCUGGAGAAGGGAGUAGGCGUCUCUCCCGAGGACUUUGUCUAAGGCCCAUGGGCAGUCAGGGGAGACUCCCCCACAAAGUGGUUGGCUCAGGGAGUGGCAAGAUUCCCCCCUUCAACAGGGUUCUGAGUGCCCAGGAAAAGUGCUCUAAAGGACAAACAGGUAGCAUGGUGGUGAUGCAUGCCUGUAAUCUCAGCAUGCCAAGAGUCCGGGACAAAAGGAUAUGAGUCUGAGGCCAGCCUGGGCUACACAGUGGCGCUGUAUCAGAGAAGCAGGUCCCUGGAUGAAGCACGAGAAGAAAACCGCCCAGGCUCUGGGACACUGGCCGAGAACCGCCCCCUCACUGCUGUGGUUUCUUUCCAAGAAGCUCAAAAUGCGGCUGAAUUAGGACUCUGCUUCCGUUCUAGCUGCUUCCCAAUGCCAGGUUUACACUAAAGUUCUGGCCUGCAGAACAAAGACAUUUCAAACCCAAAUUAACCAUGCGUCAGUUUGGAAACCCUGUCUGCAUCCUGGCAGUGUCAGCCUCUGCCUCUCUAGCCACCUUGUACUCCCAACCACGACCUUAGCAUUCUUCCUAGACAUUCCGUUUAUCCUGAUAUUCUCUCUCUCUCUCUCUCUCU